rnacentral:misc_RNA from 1 species
UUAAGUUCAGCGGGUAUCCCUACCUGAUUCGAGGUCAAACUAGAUGAUGUCUUGAUGGUCGCGAGUCCGCCGGGAACCUUCCAGAGCGCAAUGUGCUGCGCGAGAAGCCGACGACGUCGCUGCCAAUAGAUUUGGGGCGAGUCCUCGCGCGAAGCGCGGACAGACGCCCAACACCAAGCAGAGCUUGAGGGUGUAAAUGA